rnacentral:rRNA from 1 species
UACCGCAUACGCCCUACGGGGAGAAAGGAGGGGAUCUUCNGAACUUUCGCUAUCAGAUGAGCCUGCGUAGGAUUAGCUAGUUGGUGGGGUAAAGGCCCACCAAGGCGACGAUCCUUAGCUGGUCUGAGAGGAUGACCAGCCACACUGGGACUGAGACACGGCCCAGACUCCUACGGGAGGCAGCAGUGGGGAAUAUUGGACAAUGGGGGCAACCCUGAUCCAGCCAUGCCGCGUGUGUGAAGAAGGCCUUCGGGUUGUAAAGCACUUUCAGUGGUGAGGAAAGGGUAACCGCUAAUAUCGGUUAUCUGUGACGUUAGCCACAGAAGAAGCACCGGCUAAUUCCGUGCCAGCAGCCGCGGUAA